rnacentral:rRNA from 1 species
CCGGUCGACCGGUCGCAAGAUUAAAACUCAAAGGAAUUGACGGGGACCCGCACAAGCGGUGGAUGAUGUGGAUUAAUUCGAUGCAACGCGAAAAACCUUACCUAACCCUUGACAUGUACGGAAGACCGAAGAGAUUUGGUUGUGCUCGAAAGAGAACCGUAACACAGGUGCUGCAUGGCUGUCGUCAGCUCGUGUCGUGAGAUGUUGGGUUAAGUCCCGCAACGAGCGCAACCCUUGUCAUUAGUUGCUACAUUCAGUUGAGCACUCUAAUGAGACUGCCGGUGACAAACCGGAGGAAGGUGGGGAUGACGUCAAAUCAUCAUGCCCCUUAUGACCUGGGCUACACACGUGCUACAAUGGACGGUACAAAGGGUUGCCAACCCGCGAGGGGGAGCCAAUCCCAUAAAACCGUUCUCAGUUCGGAUUGCAGGCUGCAACUCGCCUGCAUGAAGCCGGAAUCGCUAGUAAUCGUGGAUCAGCAUGCCACGGUGAAUACGUUCCCGGGCCUUGUACACACCGCCGUCGACGCGGCCG